GCAGUUAGUUUUGGGGCUGGAAAUUUGAGCAGAGAGAAUGGCAGAGUCUUUUCAGGAGCCAGAAAUGCAUGUGAGGACCAAGAACUUCUAACAGUAGAGGAACUCUGGCUGGGGUAGUUGAGGGGGAGGAGAAAUGAGGAUCAAGGGGGCAUACAGUGCAUGAAAACAAAAGGUGAGGCCCAAGAUCAGCCAAAGUGAGUAAACCACGGUUACCAUGGCUACUCUUCAGUGGAGACGGAAGGAAGCCCUGUAUCCUCCCCUUCCAACCACACUACGCUGUUCCACUCCCCAUCUCCAUCUCCUGUACCCCAGACACACUCAGGCAAGCACAGCACCACCCUGGAUGACUCUGCGGAAUGCCUCUCAGAGACACGGAACUAGAAACCUAGGGGAAGAGGGACAUCAAGGCUUUUGCCUCACAAGCUGACUCUGGAACAAAGAGCCAGGCUGAGGGGCUGGAAGAAGAAACUUCCAGCAGAGCCACCCAGAUAUGCUUCCCCCACCCUCUAGACCUUCCACACCAACCAGUGUCCAGUCAGUCCACAGAGCAUCCUCCUGGGCUGUGGUGACUGAAGUUGAAGGGAAGAAAAUAUAAUAAUAAUUUUGGGCAGGUCGUCUUUCUUUACUGUAUUGGAUGGAUAUAGAAUCAAUAAAUCUAUAGGUUUAUCCCAUUUUUCUGAACAAAUUUAGAGGUCAAAGAUGAACCCUCAAGGGGACAGAAUAUGACCAGCAGGACUAUUGAUAUCGUCUGCCCUAGGCACUCCUCCUUACCCUCCUCUCCCCUAUAUUUUGGGGGCAGUCAUAUUCCUCAGCAGUCAGUUGCUCUGCCUCCAGUCCUAACUGGCUUCUGAAAAACAGUUCUGGUCCAUUCAUUCCCUGUCUCGAGACUUCCGGAGCUUCCUGACCUGUGAAUGAAAUCCACAGGCCCAUCACAAGAUGGCUGCGCUCUCCAGUCCCCGGCACCCCAGGCUGCUCUGAACAUGUGAGAGCUCCUCCCUCAAGGCCUGAAUUUUCGCAGGUCUUCAUCACACUCAGCCCGCCAUCAUUUUUUCAGAUUCAGUUCCAAUAUGUCACUCUGUCUGUAGAGCCUUCCCUGAAUCUCACAGACAAAUGCGGCAGUUCCCUUUGUGGGGGAUAUUCAUCAUGUUUUUCCUCAUUGGCCUAUGUUUUUGCCUCUUCUUGUAGAUGUCCAUCUAGGCUGGGAGCUCCUAGGGGGUAAACGCAGCCUCUCACUCACCUGGCACAGAGUCGAUGCUCAUGGAAUGAUACGUGAUGGGGAGAGUGAGUAAGUGAAUGAAUGAAUGAAUGCUAUUCUGGAAGGAAGAGGGAGAGAGGGAGCAGGGAAAGGUCAGAAGGGGGCCCAGAGUCUUCAGCACACAAUGUGGGUGUAUCACUGUGGCCAGGAACAAUUCGCUUCUCUGCCUGCAUUACUUUUUGGGAAAUGGGAGAGCUGAGGCUCAGUGUAGGCAAACUGGGUCCAGUCAGCAGGGAAGCCAUGAGCUCCACGGUUUAGGGGAGGAGUCCGGUGCUUAAGGAAGCUAUCACGUGGAAGAUCUCCCUGCCCUCCUCCUAUUGGUCUGUAUUGGUUUUUCUUCUUCACCAGUGGAGGCUUUUCUUCUCCCAGGAAGAAUCCAGAAUAGUUCAGACAAGCUUCAGGUCCGCCAGAACCGGGGAAAACAACGUGUAGGGUUUGUUUUAAAGGGCUUUUAAAUGGGGUUUGGGAGAUCCAGGUAGAUUAGAAUCUUGACUCUGCACUGGCUGUGCAAGACAGAAAUUCACCUUUCAAAACUUCUGUUCCCCAGUCUAUGCGGUAAGAAGUUUAGAUUAGCUGAUUUCUAGGGAGAUUUUGGGCAGGCAUGAUUCAGUUCCAUGAAGGGCUGUGGGACAGGACUGCACUAAGAGGUCCUAUAGAUUGGAUUCUUCAGUUCCCUCCCUUCCGCUGGAGAAUAGAGGAAUCUGCCUUCGCUGCACACUAGAUUUACCUGGAGAACAAAUGGAAAGCAGGCCAGGAUCCUGGGUGAAAUGUGGCACAUUUGAGGAGACUUCAACUUCCCUUGCCCUCCAGUGUGGUCUUUUCCCCACCCCCAGACAUGAAAGGGAAGCAGGUCACAAAGCCUUUCGGAUUAUAAAAGAAACACUUGCUUCUCACAAGGGGAGCAGCAGACUUACUCUGUACUAAAUGCCAGGAUAAGCCUCUGGCUGGGCCUCGACUGUGACCCUCCGGCCUCUUUCUACAGCUCUGCCUGGAUGGACUGGCCUAUCUCUGCUGGAUUCCCGAAGUGCAUUGUGUAGAGACAGCAACUCAGAGGUGGGACCAGCUGCCAGGCCCUUUCUCCAUUGGUUGAGUUCAGCAGGUAACCUGAAGCUUUGCUGAGAGGUGCAUAAAUAAAGAGUGAAACUAGUACCACCUCCUUGAAAUGGGCUGAGUCCCUCUUGCUCACCCUUGACUUGGAAAAACCAGUUUCUCUUUUAUUGUCUGUUACUAAUCUCUAUUCUAAAAAUUCAGCUCAAUUCUCAACCAUACUCCAAACUCUCUCUUUUCCAGCUACCUUUACUCCCUCUCCUUCAAUUCCACUUUCCUCUGCUUACUUUUUUUUUUUUUCUGACAGGGUCUCACUUUGUCGCCCGGGCAGGAGUGCAGUGGCUCAAUCUUGGGCUCACUGCAGCCUCAACCUCCCAGGUUCAAGCGAUUCUCCUGCCUCAGCCCCUCAAGUAGCUGGGACUACAAGCGCACACCACCACGCCUGACUAAUUUUUUGUAUUUUUUUGUAGAGGCGGGGUUUCACCAUGUUGCCCAGACUGGUCUUGAACUCCUGAGCUUAAGCAAUCCACCUGCCUCGGCCUCCCAAAGUGUUGGGAUCACAGGCGUGAGCCACCGCAUCCGGCCUCAUGUUCUUUUUCAUUAAAGAGAGAAAUCAACUAUUCAGGACCGGCCCCCACCUUUCCUCAGGAGUCAUUUCUGUUCCGCACAGGCCUGCUGAACUGGGUGCUUUAUAUAGGAUUUCAGUGGAGUGAAGUUCAGGAGGCAUGGAGCUGACAACCAUGAGGCCUCGGCAGCCACCGCCACCACCGCCGCCGCCACCACCGUAGCAGCAGCAGCAGCAGCAGCAGCAGCAGCAGCAGCAGCAAGAGUAACUCUGACUUAGGAAUAGAGACAGCCAGAGAGAAAUGUGAUCAAUGAAGGAGACAUCUGGAGUGGUCCCCAGGCAGGUGGCUGGGACACUAUUUGCAAUCAGCAAGGAACCCUGCUGCCCUUAGACUCCCCACAGAGCAAGCAGAACUUGCAGAAUGGGGUAAAAACACUCUAUUAAAGAUUUUUUAAACCUAUUUAUAUUGUAAUAAAGUAAAUGUAAAUAAAAUUUAAGUGAAGGCAGAUUGCAGAUAUUUCCGAUGCUAUACAAGAUAUAUCUCAUAGUAUGGGUGUAGAUUCUGCAAAGGUUAAUGCAGUUAAACAUAUUUGACACAUAAAAAUGUCAGAUCCAACAUUAAUCAUUCACCAAUUGUAAUUGCCUUUCUAUGGGUCUCUUCUCCCCAAGACAUAGCUUAAAACACCAGGCUCGGUAGAAAUCUGGGAGGAAAAAAGCAAAUAAUACCUCUCAGCUGUCAGGGUCUAUGAUACGCUUUGAUAGAUUUAGCACUGAUUUCAUUCUCUUUACAAUUCAGUGUGAUUGGGUGUGCGUGUGUGUGUGUGUGUGUGUGUGUGUGUGUGUGUGUGUUACUCCAUGUUUCUCCUUUUUAAGGAAGGAGAAGGUGUGGAACAAGAGAAAGUUCCUAAGUCUGAAGGAAGUCCAACCCAGUUAUGAAGGGAAUGCCAUCCACAAGCCUUUUUUAUAAUUGGCCCCUGCCUCAGGUAAAGGGGUCUCCUUUAAGGAGCCAGUCUGGCUAAAUUGGCAGAUUCUGAACAAAGCCUGGCCCUGACAAGUCUUCAGAAAAACCGGUUUUCACCUCCAGAAUGUGCCCCAG
rnacentral:lncRNA from 1 species